rnacentral:rRNA from 1 species
UACGUAGGGUGCGAGCGUUGUCCGGAAUUAUUGGGCGUAAAGAGCUCGUAGGCGGUUUGUCGCGUCGACUGUGAAAACCUACAGCUUAACUGUGGGCUUGCAGUCGAUACGGGCAGACUUGAGUUCGGUAGGGGAGACUGGAAUUCCUGGUGUAGCGGUGAAAUGCGCAGAUAUCAGGAGGAACACCGAUGGCGAAGGCAGGUCUCUGGGCCACUACUGACGCUGAGAAGCGAAAGCAUGGGGAGCGAACAGG